rnacentral:lncRNA from 1 species
CCCCCGACUUAAGCCUAACUAUGUGAAGCUUCUAAAUAUAAAAAUUUAAAAUAAGUAAAAAAAAUUAUUAAUACUGCUUGACUUACCUACUAUGAUGGCUGUGAAAAUAAACUCAGCUGAUUGUGUAGAUGCAAGUCCUAGAGAAUCUCAACAACCAUCUCGCAGACGGCAUCCUAGAAGCUCUGAGGUCGCUGGCAAAAAAGUAUUUGCACAACC